ACCCCACCCUUGUGUAUAUUAUAUUGUUGCUUUAGCAGGUCGCCCCCCGGGGCGUUGGCCUCGGCUGACCGUGCCUGCUAGAGGAUCCUAAACUUUGAAAUACAGUGUCGUCUGAGUACUAUUUAAUAGUUAAAACUUUCAACAACGGAUCUCUUGGUUCUGGCAUCG
rnacentral:misc_RNA from 1 species